rnacentral:lncRNA from 1 species
UCGCGCUCAGCCUCUGAGCACCAUUGAGUCACACCAACACCAAAGUUUUAGAGAAACAUUUAUUACAGGGUUGCAGAAUUUAUGUCAAUAUAAAGUCCCUUAUUAAAACUCUCAGGUUUAUCAACUGCAGGACACUAACUCUUCCCUAUCUUUAUCCUGCAGCUUUCAAAAAAAGGAACGAUACUCUUGACUGCAGGAGUAAUAUGCUACUUGCUCAUACAACCACAGUCACAUUCACAAGUGGGCUAUACCAGAAGAUAUUCUUGAAAUAGGAAGCUACAAGAUAAACGAAUUCAUAACCAAAAAUACUGAGGUUAGAUCUUACAUGCUUCACACAUGGAAGUUAAAAUAAACCCUUAACAAUAUUUAUCA